AUCGGGGUUGCGGACAGUGCCUGGUGGGUAGUUUGACUGGGGCGGUCUCCUCCCAAAGAGUAACGGAGGAGCACGAAGGUGGGCUAAUCACGGUUGGACAUCGUGAGGUUAGUGCAAUGGCAUAAGCCCGCUUGACUGCGAGAAUGACAAUUCGAGCAGGUGCGAAAGCAGGUCAUAGUGAUCCGGUGGUUCUGAAUGGAAGGGCCAUCGCUCAACGGAUAAAAGGUACUCCGGGGAUAACAGGCUGAUACCGCCCAAGAGUUCAUAUCGACGGCGGUGUUUGGCACCUCGAUGUCGGCUCAUCACAUCCUGGGGCUGAAGUCGGUCCCAAGGGUAUGGCUGUUCGCCAUUUAAAGUGGUACGCGAGCUGGGUUUAGAACGUCGUGAGACAGUUCGGUCCCUAUCUGCCGUGGGCGUUGGAAGAUUGAAGGGGGCUGCUCCUAGUACGAGAGGACCGGAGUGGACGAACCUCUGGUGUUCGGGUUGUGUCGCCAGACGCAUUGCCCGGUAGCUAAGUUCGGAAUCGAUAACCGCUGAAAGCAUCUAAGCGGGAAGCGAGCCCUGAGAUGA
rnacentral:rRNA from 1 species